GUUUGAUCCUGGCUCAGAUUGAACGCUGGCGGCAUGCCUUACACAUGCAAGUCGAACGGCAGCACGGGGGCAACCCUGGUGGCGAGUGGCGAACGGGUGAGUAAUACAUCGGAACGUGCCCAGUAGUGGGGGAUAGCCCGGCGAAAGCCGGAUUAAUACCGCAUACGACCUACGGGUGAAAGCGGGGGAUCGCAAGACCUCGCGCUAUUGGAGCGGCCGAUGUCAGAUUAGGUUGUUGGUGAGGUAAAAGCUCACCAAGCCGACGAUCUGUAGCUGGUCUGAGAGGACGACCAGCCACACUGGGACUGAGACACGGCCCAGACUCCAACGGGAGGCAGCAGUGGGGAAUUUUGGACAAUGGGGGCAACCCUGAUCCAGCCAUGCCGCGUGCGGGAAGAAGGCCUUCGGGUUGUAAACCGCUUUUGUCAGGGAAGAAAUCUUUUGGGCUAAUACCCCAGAGGGAUGACGGUACCUGAAGAAUAAGCACCGGCUAACUACGUGCCAGCAGCCGCGGUAAUACGUAGGGUGCAAGCGUUAAUCGGAAUUACUGGGCGUAAAGCGUGCGCAGGCGGUUGUGCAAGACAGGUGUGAAAUCCCCGGGCUUAAACCUGGGAACUGCACUUGUGACUGCACAGCUGAGUACGCCAGAGGGAGGGCUGUACUGACGCUCAUGCACGAAAGCGUGGGGAGCAAAACAGGAUUAGAUACCCUGGUAGUCCACGCCCUAAACGAUGUCAACUGGUUGUUGGGAAGGUUCCUUCUCAGUAACGUAGCUAACGCGUGAAGUUGACCGCCUGGGGAGUACGGCCGCAAGGUUGAAACUCAAAGGAAUUGACGGGGACCCGCACAAGCGGUGGAUGAUGUGGUUUAAUUCGAUGCAACGCGAAAAACCUUACCUACCCUUGACAUGUCUGGAAUUCUGCAGAGAUGUGGAAGUGCUCGAAAGAGAGCCAGAACACAGGUGCUGCAUGGCCGUCGUCAGCUCGUGUCGUGAGAUGUUGGGUUAAGUCCCGCAACGAGCGCAACCCUUGUCAUUAGUUGCUACGAAAGGGCACUCUAAUGAGACUGCCGGUGGCAAACCGGAGGAAGGUGGGGAUGACGUCAGGUCCUCAUGGCCCUUAUGGGUAGGGCUACACACGUCAUACAAUGGCCGGUACAGAGGGCUGCCAACCCGCGAGGGGGAGCUAAUCCCAGAAAACCGGUCGUAGUCCGGAUCGCAGUCUGCAACUCGACUGCGUGAAGUCGGAAUCGCUAGUAAUCGCGGAUCAGCUUGCCGCGGUGAAUACGUUCCCGGGUCUUGUACACACCGCCCGUCACACCAUGGAGC
rnacentral:rRNA from 1 species